GUCUCCGUAGCUCAGUUGGAUAGAGCAACCGCCUCCUAAGCGGUAGGCCGGAGGUUCGACUCCUCUCGGGGACGCCA
rnacentral:tRNA from 1 species